rnacentral:rRNA from 1 species
UUAGACGGUAGGGUAUUGGCCUACCGUGGCUAUGACGGGUAACGGGGAAUUAGGGUUCGAUUCCGGAGAGGGAGCCUGAGAAACGGCUACCACAUCUAAGGAAGGCAGCAGGCGCGCAAAUUACCCAAUCCUAAUACAGGGAGGUAGUGACAAGAAAUAACAAUACAGAACCUUACGGUUUUGUAAUUGGAAUGAGUUAAGUAUAAACCCCUUAACAAGUAUCAAUUGGAGGGCAAGUCUGGUGCCAGCAGCCGCGGUAAUUCCAGCUCCAAUAGCGUAUAUUAAAGUUGUUGCAGUUAAAAAGCUCGUAGUUAAUCUUCUGUUAAUUUUUAUAUAUAAUAUCACGAUAUUUAUAUAAUAUUAACAUAAUUCAUAUUACUUUUUAGUAUAUGAAACUUUACUUUGAGAAAAUUAGAGUGCUUAAAGCAGGCUAUUGCCUUGAAUACUCCAGCAUGGAAUAAUAUUAAGGAUUUUUAUUCUUCUUAUUGGUUCUAGAAUAAAAAUGAUGAUUAAUAGGGACAGUUGGGGGCAUUUGUAUUUAACAGUCAGAGGUGA